CUAUCGUCUUCUCUUCUGCAGAGACGUAGACCCUAAUCUCGCGAUAUCGACUGCGAGACCUUUCCUCUUCCUUACCUUUGUUCUUCCUCCUUUUCACGAUCAAUCAAUCCUCUCCCUACACCUUAUUGCUCUUUAAUCAUGGAGUUAACGGAGUCUCUUCGGUUACUCCCUCUGAAUUCUAGGAUCCUUUAUAAAUAGCUCCUUUGGGUUUUUAUUUUUCACCCAACAAUUGUGCUAUCCUCUCGAGUGAAGGAAGGAGGAGAAAAUGAUGAUGCAUAGAUGGAGAAGAUCAAGAGAGUUUAUACGAUCGGCAUGUAAAUCACUAAGCAGUCUCCGACAAAAAAACACAACUCAAUGUCUCCUUCUGUUUCAGGCUCUGUGAAUCGUUACGAGUCAAAAGGAAAGACCUUUGAGUAAAAUGCUUGGAAUCAUCAUCAUCAUCAUCCAUGUCUUGGUAGAAACCAGAAGAAGAGGAAGGAGACGUGAGCGAAGGAGGAGGAGGAGGAGACUUCCGGAGCCACCGGAAGAAGCGAAGCUCUUCGUUGGAAACUUGGCUUAUGACGUUGAGAGCCAGGCCUUGGCUAUGCUCUUUGAGCAAGCCGGUACUGUUCAUCAUGCAUUGCUUAAGUUCAUGUAUGUUCUGUGCAUUGCAAUUUGCAUCCUUUGUGAGUCUAAUGGAUAUCUUGACUUUUAAAUGUUUGGAGCAUCUCUGGUUCUGAUCAAGUUAUUUGCAGUGUUCAGAAUCGUGUGGAUUGAACUGAUAUAUGUCGACUUACAGAACAAGAUGGAAUUAUCAUACUUGAGUAUAUUUAUAUAGUUGAUGUUAUUCUUACAGUUGUUUAGUGAAAGAGAUAGCGUUUGCUAAUACUAACUGGUUCUUCGAAUUCUCCUGGUUGAAGGUUAUAUACAACAGGGAAACCAACCAGAGUCGUGGGUUUGGUUUUGUGACAAUGAAACAGCUGUUGAGAAGUUCAAUCGUUAUGUAAGUUCAUAUAUGUGUAUCAAUCAUUUCUGAACUAUUGGCAUGUAUUGGUGGAGGGAUGUUGUUCCUUUGGUCCUGGCUCAGAAGGAUCUGAACGGACGGCUUUUGACAGUAACAAGGCAGCUCCCAAAGGAUCACGUCCCGAACGCCAACCACGGGUAUACGAAGCUGCAUUCAUAGUGUACGAAGGUAACUUCUGGUGGUAAUUUUUUUUUUUUUGGUUCUCUUCUUUGAAGCAAAGCUUGGAGUAGAGAAACACAAUCUCUGUGUUGUUAAUAAUACUACGAACAUCUUAUAAAGUGUUGUUAUGUUCGGUCCUUCUGACAUAGGUUGAAGUAAAGAUUCAAGUGUGAUGUAUAUUGAGUUUCAUUGUGCAUUUUUACUUGUAAUUAAUUUUGAACU